UACGGGGGGGGUAAGCGUUGUUCGGAAUUACUGGGCGUAAAGAGCUCGUAGGCGGCUUGUCGCGUCGGCUGUGAAAUCCCGUGGCUCGAACUGCGGGUCUGCAGCCGAUACGGGCAGGCUAGAGUUCGGUAGGGGAGACUGGAAUUCCUGGUGUAGCGGUGAAAUGCGCAGAUAUCAGGAGGAACACCGGUGGCGAAGGCGGGUCUCUGGGCCGAUACUGACGCUGAGGAGCGAAAGCGUGGGGAGCGAACAGG
rnacentral:rRNA from 1 species